rnacentral:rRNA from 1 species
CCUACGGGUGGCAGCAGUAGGGAAUCUUCCACAAUGGGCGAAAGCCUGAUGCAGCAACGCCGCGUGGGUGAAGAAGGUCUUCGGAUCGUAAAACCCUGUUGUUAGAGAAGAAAGUGCGUGCGAGUAACUGUUCACGUUUCGACGGUAUCUAACCAGAAAGCCACGGCUAACUACGUGCCAGCAGCCGCGGUAAUACGUAGGUGGCAAGCGUUAUCCGGUUUUAUUGGGCGUAAAGGGAACGCAGGCGGUCUUUUAAGUCGGAUGUGAAAGCCUUCGGCUUAACCGGAGUAGUGCAUUGGAAACUGGGAGACUUGAGUGCAGAAGAGGAGAGUGGAACUCCAUGUGUAGCGGUGAAAUGCGUAGAUAUAUGGAAGAACACCAGUGGCGAAAGCGGCUCUCUGGUCUGUAACUGACGCUGAGGUUCGAAAGCGUGGGUAGCAAACAGGAUUAGAUACCCCUGUAGUC